UAUAGCUCAGUGGUAGAGCA
rnacentral:ncRNA from 2 species